rnacentral:misc_RNA from 1 species
AAGAUACCUGUCACUACAGCGUCUUUUGCGCUCAAAUGCUACCACAAGAAGGCUCUAUUCUUCUGGCGUACCAAAAUAUCUAAUAUUACUUGCCACUUGACAAUAGUUCUCUGCUUCUUGUUGCCCCACCCCCCACUGAAAUAGCAAUAUUUUAGUUUACUAUUGACCUCAGAUCAGGUAGGGAUACCCGCUGAACUUAA